AGCGGACUGCGCGGCCGCGGCGUAUUUUUACGACGAGGAAAGUCCGGGCAUCGCAGGGCAGGACGCCUGAUAACGUCAGGUGAAGGCGACUUUAAGGAAAGUGCAACAGAAAUAGACCGCCGCAUUUGCGGUAAGGGUGGAAAGGCGAGGUAAGAGCUCACCGACGGGACGGUAACGCCCCGUGCCAUGUAAACCCCGUCCGAUGCAAGGUUGGGCUGUAUUCGUAUGGGUUGCCCGCCCGAAUACAGCCGUAAAUACCGCUUGAGCUUACCGGUGACGGUAAGCGUAGAUAAAUGACCGCGCUCGACAGAACCCGGCUUACAGGUCCGU
rnacentral:RNase_P_RNA from 1 species